rnacentral:rRNA from 1 species
UCACAUCCUGGGGCUGUAGUCGGUCCCAAGGGUAUGGCUGUUCGCCAUUUAAAGUGGUACGCGAGCUGGGUUCAGAACGUCGUGAGACAGUUCGGUCCCUAUCUGCCAUGGGCGUUGGAAGUUUGAGAGGGGCUGCUCCUAGUACGAGAGGACCGGAGUGGACGAACCUCUGGUGUUCCGGUUGUCACGCCAGUGGCAUUGCCGGGUAGCUAUGUUCGGAAGCGAUAACCGCUGAAAGCAUCUAAGCGGGAAGCGCGCCUCAAGAUGAGACUUCCCGGGGCACAAGCCCCCUUAAGGAACCAUGGAGACUACGUGGUUGAUAGGUCAGGUGUGUAAGUGCAGCAAUGCAUUGAGCUAACUGAUACUAAUGAUCCGUGCGGCUUGACCAUAUAACCUCAAGG